ACGGCAGCACGGACUUCGGUCUGGUGGCGAGUGGCGAACGGGUGAGUAAUGUAUCGGACGUGCCUAGUAGCGGGGGAUAACUACGCGAAAGCGUAGCUAAUACCGCAUACGCCCUACGGGGGAAAGCAGGGGAUCGCAAGACCUUGCACUAUUAGAGCGGCCGAUAUCGGAUUAGCUAGUUUGGUGGGGUAACGGCUCACCAAGGCGACGAUCCGUAGCUGGUUUGAGAGGACGACCAGCCACACUGGGACUGAGACACGGCCCAGACUCCUACGGGAGGCAGCAGUGGGGAAUUUUGGACAAUGGGGGAAACCCUGAUCCAGCCAUCCCGCGUGUGCGAUGAAGGCCUUCGGGUUGUAAAAGCACUUUUGGCAGGAAAGAAACGUUCCGGGUUUAAUACCCCCGGGAAACUGACGGUACCUGCAGAAAUAAGCACCCGGCUAACUACGUGCCAGCCAGCCGCGGUAAAUACGUAGGGUGCAAGCGUUUAAUCGGGAAUUACUGGGC
rnacentral:rRNA from 1 species